GGCAGCAUGGCACAGUGGAAAGAGCACGGCCUUAGGAGUCAGAGGACAUGGGUUCUAAUCCCGUCUCUGCCA
rfam:Ornithorhynchus anatinus chromosome 4, whole genome shotgun sequence.